AAAAAAUACAAAAACA
rnacentral:sRNA from 1 species